rnacentral:rRNA from 1 species
CCUACGGUGAGCAGCAGUGGGGGAUAUUGCACAAUGGGGGAAACCCUGAUGCAGCGACGCCGCGUGUAGGAAGACGGUCCUCUGGAUUGUAAACUACUGUCCCCAGGGACGAAGAUGACGGUACCUGGGGAGGAAGCUCCGGCUAACUACGUGCCAGCAGCCGCGGUAAUACGUAGGGAGCGAGCGUUGUCCGGAAUUACUGGGUGUAAAGGGAGCGUAGGCGGGGAUGCAAGUUGGGUGUUAAAUCUACCGGCUCAACUGGUAGUCGCACUCAAAACUGCAGCUCUUGAGUGAAGUAGAGGCAGGCGGAAUGCCUAGUGUAGCGGUGAAAUGCGGAGAUAUUAGGAGGAACACCAGUGGCGAAGGCGGCCUGCUGGGCUUUUACUGACGCUGAGGCUCGAAAGUGUGGGGAGCAAACAGGAUUAGAUACCCUGGUAGUC